rnacentral:tRNA from 11 species
CGUGGCCUAUUGGCCAAGACGCCAGGCUCAUAACCUGAAGGUCUCUGGUUCGCACCCGG